rnacentral:rRNA from 1 species
GAUGAACGCUGACAGAAUGCUUAACACAUGCAAGUCAACUUGAAUUUGGGUUUUUACCUUAGGUUUGGGUGGCGGACGGGUGAGUAACGCGUAAAGAACUUGCCUCACAGCUAGGGACAACAUUUGGAAACGAAUGCUAAUACCUAAUAUUAUGAUAAUAGGGCAUCCUAUAAUUAUGAAAGCUAUAAGCGCUGUGAGAGAGCUUUGCGUCCCAUUAGCUAGUUGGAGAGGUAACGGCUCACCAAGGCGAUGAUGGGUAGCCGGUCUGAGAGGGUGAUCGGCCACAAGGGGACUGAGACACGGCCCUUACUCCUACGGGAGGCAGGAGUGGGGAAUAUUGGACAAUGGACCGAGAGUCUGAUCCAGCAAUUCUGUGUGCACGAUGAAGUUUUUCGGAAUGUAAAGUGCUUUCAGUUGGGAAGAAACAAAUGACGGUACCAACAGAAGAAGUGACGGCUAAAUACGUG